UACGGGGGGGGCAAGCGUUGUCCGGAUUUAUUGGGCGUAAAGAGCUCGUAGGCGGUCUGUCGCGUCUGCCGUGAAAGUCCGGGGCUCAACUCCGGAUCUGCGGUGGGUACGGGCAGACUAGAGUGAUGUAGGGGAGACUGGAAUUCCUGGUGUAGCGGUGAAAUGCGCAGAUAUCAGGAGGAACACCGAUGGCGAAGGCAGGUCUCUGGGCAUUAACUGACGCUGAGGAGCGAAAGCAUGGGGAGCGAACAGG
rnacentral:rRNA from 1 species